UACGGAGGGUGCAAGCGUUACUCGGAAUCACUGGGCGUAAAGGGUGCGUAGGCUGGCUUCUAAGUCAGAUGUGAAAUCCAAUGGCUUAACCAUUGAACUGCAUUUGAAACUGGGAGCCUAGAGUUCAGAAGGGGCAGAUGGAAUUAGUGGUGUAGGGGUAAAAUCCGUAGAUAUCACUAGGAAUAUCAAAAGCGAAGGCGAUCUGCUGGGAUGAUACUGACGCUGAGGCACGAAAGCGUGGGGAGCAAACAGGAUUAGAUACCCUGGUAGUCCACGCCCUAAACGAUGAAUGCUAGUCGUCGGGGAGCUCGUCUCUUCGGUGAUGCACUUAACAGAUUAAGCAUUCCGCCUGGGGAGUACGGUCGCAAGAUUAAA
rnacentral:rRNA from 1 species